rnacentral:rRNA from 1 species
UACGUAGGGGGCAAGCGUUGUCCGGAAUCAUUGGGCGUAAAGCGCGUGUAGGCGGCUUGAUAAGUCUGCUCUGAAAGCCCGGGGGCUCAACCCCGGGAGGCGGGUGGAUACUGUCAAGCUCGAGUCCGGAAGAGGAGUGUGGAAUUCCUGGUGUAGCGGUGAAAUUCGUAGAUAUUGGGAAGAACACCGGUGGCGAAGGCGGCGCUCUGGACCGAGACUGACGCUGAGGCGCGAAAACGUGGGGGAGCAA